CUCCCCUCCUCUAGGGGGCGACGAAGCACUCUGAAAAUACAGGAAACUCAAAGCUAAGGAAGCUUAACCAAACAAACUGUUGCAACCAUCUAAAUAUCACUGGAAACCAAUGAAGUCUUGGAUCUGUGUGCUGGUACUGUAUUGUUCUGCAUGAACCUUGGGUUGGAGAGAUGCUCUAAUUUGUGAGGAAACAGUCCUGCUGCUUUGGCGUUGUUGCCUGGAUACCGCAUCCACCUGGAGCAGCAUAUGGCUGCAGCAUGUUGUGCUCCGUGAGAAAUAAGCGGAAUGCCAAAACAUCCCGGUGUGGUGAUGUAAUGCACCUUUCAAGAGUUUUGCAAGAUGACAGGUUCUCUAUAGACGGAGGGUCUCUGGGUCUGUAAAGGUCGAUAAACCCGGGAUACAAGAAUGGGUUUGGAUGGGUUUUGUCUCGAUCUGCCAGCUUCCUCCUCACCAUCGCACUGAGACAAAUCUGCUCUGAUGAUUAGUGCUCGUCUCACACAGGCUUCAUUAUCUGCCUCUGUGUUUCAGAUCACCACAGAAAUGACACACUG